rnacentral:rRNA from 1 species
UACGAAGGGGGCUAGCGUUGCUCGGAAUCACUGGGCGUAAAGCGCACGUAGGCGGAUCCUUAAGUCGGGGGUGAAAUCCUGGAGCUCAACUCCAGAACUGCCUUCGAUACUGAGGAUCUCGAGUCCGGGAGAGGUGAGUGGAACUGCGAGUGUAGGUGAAAUUCGUAGAUAUUCGCAAGAACACCAGUGGCGAAGGCGGCUCACUGGCCCGGUACUGACGCUGAGGUGCGAAAGCGUGGGGAGCAAACAGG